ACUAAUAUCAAAUCCUUUUCCCCCAGAAUUUCAAAACCCUAAAAUUCGAAAUCUCUCCUUCUCCAGAAUCAUUUGAAGCCUAAAAUUUUUCUAAACCCAAUUUCAAUUUUGUAAAAACCUAGCCCCCACCUAUCCUUUGUUGAAUGAUAAACUGACAGGAAAAAUGAAAACUUCUUGUUAGAUUUUUGCUGUGAGAGAGAAGUUGUAAAUGGUAUAGAAGCAGAAAUAUCAACUAUAAUUUUAAUCCCACCCAAGUAGCAAAAACGAUUCUCUCUUCACUCUUUCAGCUCUGAAUGGUGGACAAGCCAAGAAAAGUUAUGGUGUAGUACGGUGAUGUUGCCUCGUUUCGAACACUCAUCACAUAGCCAUGUGCACCCUUUUGCAUCUAAAGCUUCCUGCGGCUUUUCUUGGUUCAUUUGUGGUUCAAAGUUUCAAUCUUUUUUAUCAGUCUCAUUUUGAAGACUGGUCUCUUAUGGCCAACCCAGAAGCUCACGAGACUGAUCAUAGAAGGAGGAAGGUUUUUGAGUUGAAAAUGGAGUUACAGAGACUUUUUAAGACUAUUCUUGAUGAAGAUGAUUAUGGCAUGCAAGUAACUGAUGAGGUCUUGAGGGUCUUGUCUUGUUUGAAAGAGUUUCAGUUGAAGAAAUCUCAUUCUAUUAGUGCUGAUUGCUUGGAUGUUCCAGAAGUGUUCAGGUGUCCUAUUUCUGGAGAGAUUGUGGCUGACCCUGUUGUUUUGGCUAAUGGCCAGUUACCACAAAACUGGGAGCAAGAACAAUCGAACGAGGAGAAGGGGACACACGGCAUUGCGGACCAGGAGGGGGCAGCAGGAAAUCUUAUUUAGAGCAAAAGGAGAAAAAGGAGUUUUGAGGAUUGUUUGAAUCUCCUUGAAAAUUGUUUGCCAUUUUGGCCUUCAUUUUGCAUAAUUGCAGGAAAUCCCACCAAAGUUUGUGAUGAAGAUGAAGUUCGGGGAUGAGCUGACUAAUAUUGCUACACUAACAGUCCCUAACGCUCGAGUUUGGCAAGUUUGAGUGGUAAAAGAAAAGACAGAAAAGAGUGCCGGUGAAUAUCAGAUUGGUCGAGUCGUGGGAGUGUGAUAAAAGGAGGUUGGAAUAAUUUUUAACAAUUUGGAGGAAGGAGACAUUUGUGUCUUUGAGAUGAUGAGAGACGACGACUUUUAUC